rnacentral:lncRNA from 10 species
CAAAAGAGCAAGUCAGGGAACUAGCUUUGGUUGGGUUCGGUGGUACACAAAGCACAAGGCCUGGGUUGGGGUUAGGAGGAAAUGAGACUUGCGGCGGGUCGGGGCUGAAGAUGUGGCAGCGCCCUGAACCUGGAGAAAGGCUGAAUCCCUUUGGUCAAGGAGAGGGAGAGAGAGGUAAGGGUCUGGUCUUACUUUUUAAGCAGGAAGAAGACUACAAACCACCAUCUACCAUCUGCCAGGCCCUGGAAUUUGAACCACCAUCUUCUGGAGUGACUCAAAUGCAGAGGAAGCCAGGCCUGCUGCUAACGUUUCUGAGAGGCGGCAAGAGUAUAAAUGGAGAUCCACAUAUGUAUAAAUAAAGAGUGUGAAUCAAGCUAACAAACUGUUUAAUAAAAUAUGAUCUACCCUCUUAGCUUGACAAAUCAACUUUUCAAACACCUGGAAGAACAAGUUUGCACUCAGGAUUCUCAGACUCCUCAGAGUUCUGCACUGGGAUGUGGAAGGGCUGUGCAAGCCAGCCCUUGGGUCCCUGAUCCCUGUCUCCUGGCCUGUGCCCGUCUCUUCUCAGCCUGGCUCCAACUCCCAUUGAGAGGAAGUUCUUGUACACAUAUGAUACUGCAGCCCUUAUGUCUAAUAUUUAUCCAUACCUUCUGCAAACAGCCACUGUGUGACCACCCUUGGGCUUCCCAGGGGUCUGCAAACUGACAAUACAGACAAAGGGAACCAAGGCAGAGGCUCACAGACUGUAGAAAUGGGCUUGGGGCCAUCUGGGCAGAGACUUGUGGAAUCCCAGCACGAUCACUCUGGGUGCUGUGUGAAAUGGAUGAAUAGCAAGGAGCUGCAGCCAAGAGCAAAUCAACAGAAGCACCACUCAAAAUGCCUCAGUACCCAUUACAUAAGGAUUCUUGUGAUUAAUUCUUCCCCAAAAUUUAGAGCCAAGAAAAAUCCAGCUCUCCUACUGAGAGUUGUAGAUUAGAGCUUCUGUUUCUAAUCUACAAACAAACAAAUGUGUGCAAUGUCUUUUCAUGACAAUUCCAACUUUAUCAUAAGGUUGUCUACUAAGAAACUAGUAGGCAGGUUUCUCUUGUUGUCUAGACCACCUGAAAGCUCAUAGCUGAGUUUGCACUUAUUUGCAGAGUAAACUGCUCAUUUAUCAAUCUGGCAUCCAAUCACAACUUUUUAGCUAACUGUAUGUUUUCAUAAACACUUUUCUCACACAGUAUAAAUUUUAAAUAAAUAACAAUAGCAAUUAAGUAGUAACAACUCGAGACUGGUAUCUGACUAGUGGUUCUUUCACCAGUGUGUACACUGGAAGUUUUGUUUUGUUUUUUGAUGUUUGUACAUUGUAAUUGCAGGACAGGUAGUAAGAAGAUUUCAAAUUCACAUUAGCUUUGCUACCACUAAAUUAUGGUGACUGUUCCUAAUUUGCAAACAAAUGUAUGCAAUCUCUUUUUAUGAUUAUCCCAACUUUAUCAUAAGGUUGUUAUAUUUUAAGACAUAUGAAAAGAUAUAAAGUAUAAUACAGUGAAUACAUAUAUAUCUAACUCCCAGUUUAAGAAAUAAAACAUUAGCAAAUACAGCUGAAGCUCCAUGAAUUCCCCUCCCAAAUCAUACUCCCUUCCCACCCGCAGAGGGAACCUCUAUUCUGAGCCUGGUGUUUAUCACCACCAAGAAUUAAAAAAAUACUUUUACUAUAUAUACACAAGUAUGUACCCCUUAGAAAUGAGUAGUAGUACUGUUUUGUAUGUCUUUACACUUUAAGUAAAUGGUAUAAGUUAUUUCUUGUUUUUGCUCAAAAUUGUUGAAAUUUAUGCCCUUUGAUUCUAUAGCUGACUUUCACUGUGAGUCAUUCCAUCAUUAUUUCUGUAUUCAUUCUCCUGCUGAAGUACAUUUCAGGUUGUUGCUAUUCCUCUGCUGAUCCCCCUCCCCCAACACACAUGCUUUUAUUAAUAAAUCUGCUGGAACAUUCUUGCAUACA